rfam:Felis catus isolate Cinnamon breed Abyssinian chromosome B4, whole genome shotgun sequence.
GCCUGGAUGGCUCAGUUGGUUAAGCAUCUGACUUCCGUUCAGGUCGUGAUCUUACCGUUUGUGAGUUCAAGCCCCACAUCAGGCU